ACAGGAAAUAACUCUCUCAUGCAAUUGAAAUUAAGCAUGUUAGGAAUAGGAGGAGAACCUCAUCCUAACAUGAGCAAAGUCGAAGGCCCAAUUUCUAAAAGAUCGGAUGGGGGGAAAGGCUCUCACAACGACCCUGAUGUGCCCCCACAGCCUUGUUAGGAACAGGAGGAGAACCUCAUCCUAACAUGAGCAAAGUCGAAGGCUCGAUUUCCUAAAAGAUCAGAUGGGGGGAGAGGCCCUCACAACGGCCCUGAUGUGCCCCCACAACUUUGUUAGGAAUAGGAGGAGAACCUCGUCCUAACAUGAGCAAAGUCGAAGGCCCGAUUUCCUAAAAGACCAGAUGGGGGGAGAGGCCCUUAUAAUGGCCCAGAUGUGGCCCCACAGCCUUGUUAGGAAUAGGAGGAGAACCUUGUCCUAACAUGAGCAAAGUCGAAGGCCCGAUUUCUUAAAAGACUAGAUUGGGGGAGAGGCCCUUACAACGGCCCUUAUGUGCCCCACAGUCUUGUUAGGAACAGGAGGAGAACCUCGUCCUAACAUGAGCAAAGCUGAAGGCCCAGUUUUCUAAAAGAUUUGAUAGGGGGAGAGGCCCUUACAACGGCCCUUAUGUGCCCCCACAGUCUUGUUAGGAACAGGAGGAGAACCUCAUCCUAACAUGAGCAAAAUCGAAGGCCUGAUUUCCUAAA
rnacentral:lncRNA from 1 species